rnacentral:rRNA from 1 species
AUUGAACGCUGGCGGCAUGCUUUACACAUGCAAGUCGAACGGUAACAGGUUAAGCUGACGAGUGGCGAACGGGUGAGUAAUGCAUCGGAACGUGCCCGAUCGUGGGGGAUAACGCAGCGAAAGCUGCGCUAAUACCGCAUACGAUCUGAGGAUGAAAGCGGGGGACCGUAAGGCCUCGCGCGAUCGGAGCGGCCGAUGUCAGAUUAGGUAGUUGGUGGGGUAAAGGCUCACCAAGCCAACGAUCUGUAGCUGGUCUGAGAGGACGACAAGCCACACUGGGACUGAGACAAGGCCCAGACUCCUACGGGAGGCAGCAGUGGGGAAUUUUGGACAAUGGGCGAAAGGCUGAUCCAGCAAUGCCGCGUGCAGGAAGAAGGCCUUCGGGUUGUAAACUGCUUUUGUACGGAGCGAAAAGGCUCUCUCUAAUACAGGGGGCUCAUGACGGUACCGUAAGAAUAAGCACCAGCUAACUACGUGCCAGCCGCCGCAGUAA